rnacentral:lncRNA from 1 species
AAUCAAAAGAUAGAUCGUAUAAAAAAGGAUUAGAAUUUACAUCAUGAACUUGGUACACCAAAGGAUCUUCCUUCACCCAUCACCAGGGACUUUAGCUCAUCAUCUUCCUCUCUCUCAUUCUCACUUUUUUUUUUAAUAACAGAAACAGGGCAUCCCCUAUUUCUCUCUACACUUUUUUUUUCUUUCCACUGCAGCAGCCCAGCUCCACUCUUCCUUCCACCCACCCCCCCCCUCCGUUUCUUCACCCGAAUGAAUGCUAUAUAGAUGGCGUUUGAUCCCUCCUGAGCGCACACGGUGGAGAUGGGCGGAUGGAGGGGGAUCUCGAACGUUGAUCGCGGGCGGAUCCGGCGCUGAUCGAUGGCUCACUUCACGGGAUGCUGGGAACUUGUGAGAUGAACGGGAUGAUCCGGGAAGAAGUUGGGCGGUGGAUCCGGAAGCAAGGGAGCUGAUCACGGCCGCUGGGUGGUCGCCGAGAUGCUCAUGAAUGGCUGGAACGGAGGAAGAAGCAGCCGCUGAUCUCGGUUUGCUGGAUGGCUGCAGGCGGGAUCAGCGGGAUGGGCGUGGGAGAAGAGCGGGAUGCUGGGGGCUUCACGGGUGGCUCGCAGGAGGAUAGGCUGCACACGGUCGCUGUGAAGGAGGAGGGCGUUGAAGGAUGAGGAGCUGAGCUGGGAUUGGCUUGGACCAUGGACGAGGCGGUGAUCGCAUGGACGGCUGCUGGAGCAUGGGAGCGAAGGCUGGCUUGAUUCGCGGAGAGGAUUGGGCGCGGAAGGAUGAGGAGCUGAGCUGGGAUUGGCUUGGACUGUGGACGAGGCGGUGAGAUGCGUGGGAGGACGAGGACCGGAUGCCGUGGAUGAAGCAGACGCUGGGACUGGGAGGUUGAGAACGCGGUCAAGACGGGAAGGUAGCUGAUCACCGG